UGGGGAAUUUUGGACAAUGGGCGAAAGCCUGAUCCAGCAAUGCCGCGUGCAGGAUGAAGGCCUUCGGGUUGUAAACUGCUUUUGUACGGAACGAAAAAGCUUCUCCUAAUACGAGAGGCCCAUGACGGUACCGUAAGAAUAAGCACCGGCUAACUACGUGCCAGCAGCCGCGGUAAUACGUAGGGUGCGAGCGUUAAUCGGAAUUACUGGGCGUAAAGCGUGCGCAGGCGGUUAUGUAAGACAGAUGUGAAAUCCCCGGGCUCAACCUGGGAACUGCAUUUGUGACUGCAUGGCUAGAGUACGGUAGAGGGGGAUGGAAUUCCGCGUGUAGCAGUGAAAUGCGUAGAUAUGCGGAGGAACACCGAUGGCGAAGGCAAUCCCCUGGACCUGUACUGACGCUCAUGCACGAAAGCGUGGGGAGCAAACAGGAUUAGAUACCCUGGUAGUCCACGCCCUAAACGAUGUCAACUGGUUGUUGGGGAAAUUUAGUUUUUCUCAGUAACGAAGCUAACGCGUG
rnacentral:rRNA from 1 species